UGGGGAAUUUUGGACAAUGGGCGCAAGCCUGAUCCAGCCAUGCCGCGUGCGGGAAGAAGGCCUUCGGGUUGUAAACCGCUUUUGUCAGGGAAGAAAUCUUCUGAGUUAAUACCUCGGGAGGAUGACGGUACCUGAAGAAUAAGCACCGGCUAACUACGUGCCAGCAGCCGCGGUAAUACGUAGGGUGCAAGCGUUAAUCGGAAUUACUGGGCGUAAAGCGUGCGCAGGCGGUUUUGUAAGACAGAGGUGAAAUCCCCGGGCUCAACCUGGGAACUGCCUUUGUGACUGCAAGGCUUGAGUGCGGCAGAGGGGGAUGGAAUUCCGCGUGUAGCAGUGAAAUGCGUAGAUAUGCGGAGGAACACCGAUGGCGAAGGCAAUCCCCUGGGCCUGCACUGACGCUCAUGCACGAAAGCGUGGGGAGCAAACAGGAUUAGAUAGCCCUGGUAGUCCACGCCCUAAACGAUGUCAACUGGUUGUUGGGAAGGUUCCUUCUCAGUAACGUAGCUAACGCGUGAAGUUGACCGCCUGGGGAGUACGGCCGCAAGGUUGAAACUUAAAGGAAUUGACGGGGUCAUAGC
rnacentral:rRNA from 1 species